GUAGGUGGCAAGCGUUGUCCGGAAUUAUUGGGCGUAAAGCGCGCGCAGGCGGUCCUUUAAGUCUGAUGUGAAAGCCCACGGCUCAACCGUGGAGGGUCAUUGGAAACUGGGGGACUUGAGUACAGAAGAGGAAAGCGGAAUUCCACGUGUAGCGGUGAAAUGCGUAGAGAUGUGGAGGAACACCAGUGGAGAAGGCGGCUUUCUGGUCUGUAACUGACGCUGAGGCGCGAAAGCGUGGGGAGCAAACAGGGAUUAGAUACCCUGGUAGUCCACGCCGUAAACGAUGAGUGCUAAGUGUUAGGGGGUUUCCCGCCCCUUAGUGCUGCAGCUAACGCAUUAAGCACUCCGCCUGGGGAGUACGGCCGCAAGGCUG
rnacentral:rRNA from 1 species